AACGAACGUUAGCGGCGCGCCUAACACAUGCAAGUCGAGCGAGAAAGGGAGCAAUCCCCGGUACAGCGGCGCACGGGUGAGUAACACGUAGGUAACCAACCUCCGAGUGGUGGAUAACCUUCCGAAAGGAGGGCUAAUACAGCAUGAGCCCACGAUUCCGAGAGGAGUUGAGGGAAAAGUCGGCCAAUCCACGGAAGCUGACGCUUGGAGACGGGCCUGCGGCCCAUCAGCUAGUUGGUGAGGUAAUGGCUCACCAAGGCGAAGACGGGUAGCUGGUCUGAGAGGAUGAUCAGCCACACUGGAACUGAGACACGGUCCAGACUCCUACGGGAGGCAGCAGUGGGGAAUCUUGCGCAAUGGGCGAAAGCCUGACGCAGCGACGCCGCGUGGGUGAUGAAGGCCUUCGGGUUGUAAAGCCCUGUGGAGGGGGACGAAUAAGUGUUGGCUAACAUCCAGCAUGAUGACGGUACCCCUUUAGCAAGCACCGGCUAACUCUGUGCCAGCAGCCGCCGUAA
rnacentral:rRNA from 1 species